rnacentral:lncRNA from 1 species
AUGAGCACACUGGCCACGCAGGAGGUCAGGCGGGGCCAGGACCCACUGGAUCCAUCAGACUCCACACUAGACACUCCCUGGCUCCUCUUGCAACAUCCUGGGCGCGAUUGUGGACCCGGCCCCGGGGAGGGGCCGCCCCGGUGCUGUCUGUGCCUGCACCUGCCGUGUGAGGCCCAGUUGUCGGAGCUGCAGCAACUGCCGUCUCGUCCUUUGCAAGCAACGCCCUCCCUUUGUUUCCUCAGUCCACAGGACCAGGUCACGUCUGCCCUCGAAACUGCCCUAGGUUCCCAGUCCCAUCCUACAGACAGGAAUGCAGUCUGGAGGGGCAAGGGAGUCACCCCAAGGCCGCACGCAGAGCCAGUGGCAAAGCCAAGACCAAAACCCAGGCCUCUGGAGUGCCAGCCCAACCUCCUCCCAGCAUGUCAUCCUGCCUGGAGAUUGGGGUCUGACUCCAUACCUUGCAGCGGGGCCCACCACCCCCUCCACACACCCAGCCGGCAGCACGCUCGCAUUCCUUCAUCUGCCACCUACCCAUCCACUUGCUCUUCCGUCUACUCAUCUACCAUCUCCCCCCAUCUUUCCUCCCUCCAUUCAUGUACUCUCCAGCCAUUCACUCUGCCCUCUACCCAUCCACUCCCUCAAAUAUCACCCACUCACCCACCUGCCCACCCAUCCAUCUAUUCACCCAUCCAUCCAACCAUCCACCCAUCUUCUCAUCCAUCCACCCGUCUACCCAUCCAUCUACUCACCCAUUCACCAACCCACCCAUCCAUCCAUCUGCUCACCCACCCACCCAUCCCUCCACCAUCCAUCCACCCAUCCAUGUACUCACCCAUCCAUCCAUCCAUCAUCUACCCACCCAUCCAUCUACUCACUCACCCAUCCACCCACCCAACUAUCCAUCUACUCACCCACCCACCCUCCAUCCAUCAUCUACCCAUCCAUCCAUCUACUCAUCCAUCCACCCAUCUACCCGUCCAUCCACUCACCCACCCAUCCAUCUAUCAUCCACCCUCCCAGCCACCCAUUAGGCCCUCAGAGGACAGAGGAAACAGAGUCUGGAACACCAGGAUGACCUCUGGAUGA